GUGGUCAUAAUUGAAAAAGCCAAGAACACUGAAUUGCUGAAAGUCCAUUGAGGCUUUCGAGCUUCUGUAGCAUCGGCCAACUCUUUUUCAAAAGCAGUGAAAAGUUUGCGAAGAUCCUUUGCAGAAAUGUUAUAUUUAGAGAGGCCAUUUCUUCUUAUAAGCUCCUUCAAGCAUCCCGACUUUGCAAGAACGCUUGCCGAACUGAUUUAUGCAAACAGUGUGCUUCCCACGCCAUGCCAGCAAGCGAAAUAAAGAGAUCCAAGAAACGUGCUAUCUAGUCGAGAGGCAACGAGGUAUAGCGUGGUAGAAAAGUGCUUCAGUGCAUCAAAACACGACGGAAUCCUCCUAUUUAUAAAGUUCGAGCCAAUCCAAAUGAGUUCGGCGGUAAAAGACCGCGAUAAAAUACGUGACAUAACUAGAAAGACUACAGGCAAGCUGUAGAAAAACCAGAUGGUCUGCGUAGGCGAGGUGUAGACAAGGUAUAAAUCAAUACAAGGUUGAAAGGGUAUGUUAAACGUCUCUGUGAAACCACUCUGUUUAACAUACCUUUUCAACCUAGUGUUGAUUUAUACAAUGGGAUACUUAAAUUUGCGUUUUGGUAUAAGGGAUAAUUUUGGCUUACCGAUGAAUAAUUUAUGGCGUGCAGGUAUUUUUAGAGGUAGUUUUCGAAUUCCCCGACAAGCAUCGCUUUUACCCUGCGGACAGGCGACUGACCACAGGGUACCCGCGCGGUGACCACAAAAACUAAGGCGUCGUAGUUAUAUCAUAUUUACAUCCUACGGAGCUGCUGCUCCAUUAUCAAAAUAAGAAUGGCGUUAUGAUAAAAUUUUAGGGAUUGAAGGAAAAUUAAAGCCUUU